CAGUGGCAAGGUGACGUUUGAGCAGACCUCUGAAGAGGCAAGGGAAGGAGCCACGUGAACAUCUCGGGUCCUGCCUGGUUCAGAUAUCCGCGCGGAAUGCAGGGGUUGGGCCAGCCUCCCUCGAUUCCCAGACACUCUCCGUCCACAGUGAGCAAGAGGUCCCCCGAGGGGAAUCUGUGGCAGGAAUGUGACCUCAAGGGUGGCCGCAUGCAGCCAGGAGGUGGUCCCGAAUGGAGAACGUGGCCAGGGCAGGCACGGAGAAGAGUUGGUUCUGAUGUGUGGCUGGCUGACCUAGAAGCAGCCAGAAGGGUGUGAGUCCAUCAACUCACCGCGCCCCACCCGGGGCCCCAGUGAUGGAUGGCAUCUGUCUUCUGCUUUAUUAAACUCACGCCGCUCAGUUCA